AGAGUUUGAUCCUGGCUCAGAACGAACGCUGGCGGCGUGCCUGAGACAUGCAAGUCGUGGGAGAAAGUCGGGGCAACUCGGCGAGUAAACCGGCGCACGGGUGAGUAACACGUGGACAACCUGCCCUGGAAACUGGGAUAACCCGUCGAAAGACGGACUAAUACCGGAUAAGACCACGGGGAGUUCGCUCUCUGAGGUAAAAGGUGGCCUCUGCUCCUGCAAGCUAUCGUUCCAGGAGGGGUUCGCGGCCUAUCAGCUUGUUGGCGAGGUAACGGCUCACCAAGGCUAAGACGGGUAGCUGGUCUGAGAGGAUGGUCAGCCACACUGGGACUGAGACACGGCUCAGAGUCCUACGGGAUGCAGCAGUCAGGAAUAUUGCGCAAUGGAGGAAACUCUGACGCAGCGACGCCGCGUGGGUGAUGAAGGCCUUCGGGUCGUAAAGCCCUGUCGGAGGGGAAGAAAAGCUCGCUGGCUAAUAUCCAGCGGGCCUUUGACGGUACCCUCAAAGGAAGCACCGGCUAACUCCGUGCCAGCAGCCGCGGUAAGACGGAGGGUGCAAGCGUUGUUCGGAUUGACUGGGCGUAAAGGGCGUGUAGGCGGCCGGCCCAGUCCGGUGUGAAAGCCCGGGGCUUAGCCCCGGAAGUGCACCGGAAACUAGCCGACUUGAGCGCGAUAGAGGAGGGUGGAAUUCCUGGUGUAGCGGUGAAAUGCGUAGAUAUCAGGAGGAACACCGGCGGCGAAGGCGGCCCUCUGGAUCGUUGCUGACGCUGAGACGCGAAAGCGUGGGGAGCAAACAGGAUUAGAUACCCCCGUAGUCC
rnacentral:rRNA from 1 species